ensembl:lncRNA
GCUGCUGUUAUUGUCUUCAUGUACGUCUGAGUGUUUGUGUGCCAUCGUGGCAAAAUGACGACCUCCCCCUCCCCCGUCUCUGACAGCUGUUUAUUUUAUCUCUCAGUCUGAGUGUGAGUGGAUGUCACGGCCGCCAUGUUAGCUUGCUGGAGACAGAAGAGCAGGCUGUGCAGGUGCGUCUCACAGUUCCAUCUUCAGUUAGCUGAGUUGAAGCUAGAAGCUGCAGCGGCUUGUAUCAGCAUCCACCUGUUGACCAAAGAGGCCACACCUAUAAUACUGUGAACAUUUAAGCCUAAAUCCUCAAAUGUACUCGGCUGCAGACGGGCCGACGCCAGCGUAGUCAUUCCUGUUGAACUUCUUUGACAUCUCUUGUGUGUUUGGGUGCGACAUAGUAACAUGUCGCUACAUUCAGUAAUCGCAGUUACAGUUAUGUCGUUACUUGCGUUACAAAUGUUCUUCAGUUGCCCGUGUGCAAAGCUUUUUUUCUUCCUCCUCAUUUCACUACAAUCAGCUGAUUUCAGUUUGUGUGCUGGAGGUGGAAAAUCGUGGAGCGGUCUACAUGGACAUUACUUAAGUGCUAAAGUGCAAACAGUGUCCAGGACUGAAACAGCUGCAUUUAUACUGCUAACACAGACAGCAUGCUAACGCUAAGCUAGUUAAGAACUCGGAGUGGUGUUAAAGCUGAGUGUAUGCGGACCCCGGCACCGCAGCCAGAGCCUGAACUUAAGCAGCUAACAAACGGAUGAGCAGUCAGGCUGCAGCCUCCGUUUCUACCUGUCCAUGUUUCUAAAGUAGAAUCACCGUGGCGAUCUGUUUGAAGCUUCUUCGG